GGCCAGAAGAGAGGGCAAGAGAAAUAAGAUUUAAGUUACAAAAUACUUUUACAUUUGAGAAGGAGAGCAAGCAAGGGUGGUGGUCUAGAAGUAUCAAGAGUGAGGAAUUUCUUGCAAGGAGAAGAGAAACUAUUUCAGAUGAAUUAGCAGAUGGUUCUGGACUUGCUUAGAAGAUGAGAGAUCUGUG